rnacentral:misc_RNA from 1 species
AGUGGUGUUUGGUAUGUUACGGGUGGUUGGCUCUUUGCUUGCGCAACAACUUCCACCUGGCAUACCUCUUCAGUUGUGUGUUGAUGGCGCUUUAUCGCAUUAGCGCAUUCAGGGUUUCUUGUAUUUCAUGCCUAACCGAUGGUAUCGCUUGACGAACAUGUGUCUAAUUUCGUCUUGUGUCGCGCAUGCGAUGCGAGAUGAACCUUGAAGCAGCCUUUCUGAUCCACUCKAUUGAUUGCACACGCAUUGAUUUUGUGGCUCAUUGAGUGUUGCUUGGACUCAUCGAUAUGGAACCUUUAGUGGGCAUGGGAUCUUUCAGUAGUUCCCUGUUUGCCCUAGAUAUGUUUUUCAAAUACGAUUUCCUAUCACGUCUAGACGUGGUAGGCUACAUCGAAUAUGAAUG